CCUACGGGAGGCAGCAGUGAGGAAUAUUGGUCAAUGGGCGCGAGCCUGAACCAGCCACGCAGCGUGAAGGAUGACUGCCCUACGGGUUUUAAACUUCUUUUAUAAAGGAAUAAAGUGAGGCACGUGUGCCUUUUUGUAUGUACUUUAUGAAUAAGGAUCGGCUAACUCCGUGCCAGCAGCCGCGGUAAUACGGAGGAUCCGAGCGUUAUCCGGAUUUCUUGGGUUUCAAGGGAGCGUAGAUGGGUUGUUAAGUCAGUUGUGAAAGUUUGCGGCUCAACCGUAAAAUUGCAAUUGAUACUGGCAGUCUUGAGUACAGUUGAGGUAGGCGGAAUUCGUGGUGUAGCGGUGAAAUGCUGAGAUAACACGAAGAACUCCGAUUGCGAAGGCAGCUUACUAAACUGCCACUGACAUUGAUGCUCGAAAGUGUGGGUAGCAAACAGGAUUAGAUACCCCUGUAGUC
rnacentral:rRNA from 1 species